rnacentral:rRNA from 1 species
GUGUCAGCCGCCGCGGUAAGACGAACCGAGCGAACGUUGUUCGGAAUCACUGGGCUUAAAGGGCGCGUAGGCGGGUCAGCAAGUCCGGGGUGAAAUCUUUCGGCUCAACCGGAAAAGUGCCUUGGAUACUGCUGGUCUGGAGGGAGGUAGGGGCAGCUGGAACUUCCGGUGGAGCGGUGAAAUGCGUUGAUAUCGGAAGGAACUCCGGUGGCGAAGGCGAGCUGCUGGACCUCUUCUGACGCUGAGGCGCGAAAGCUAGGGGAGCAAACGGGAUUAGAUACCCUGGUAGUCC